rnacentral:misc_RNA from 1 species
AUCAGUUCCAAGAAGGUACGCUCUACUUAUUCUUGAUGUAAAUUUACAGUUGUGAAUGAAUGUAAAGUAAUUACUAAUUAAUUCCCCACACACAUACACUACUAAUGUUUUAAGCUGAGAAAGGUGAAAUUAAACCAAGAAUUUAUACAUAAUUCCAUGUUUCAGAAACAUGUGAAAACAAUAAAUUAUAUAUCUUUUGAGCUAGGAUCUUAUUUUUCUUUCUUUAAAAAAAAAUAUCAGUUAUUUUCAAGCAAUUAGUAUGGAGGUGGAAUCAAUAUGUUAUCUAUGGCGGAGGUUCUUGGGCACUUAUUUCA